CAGGGAAUCUUGCACAAUGGGCGAAAGCCUGAUGCAGCGACGCCGCGUGGGGGAUGAAGGCCUUAGGGUCGUAAACCCCUUUCAGCAGGGACGAAAAUGACGGUACCUGCAGAAGAAGCCCCGGCCAACUACGUGCCAGCAGCCGCGGUAAGACGUAGGGGGCGAGCGUUGUCCGGAUUUAUUGGGCGUAAAGAGCUCGUAGGCGGUUGCGUAAGUCGGAUGUGAAAACUCAGGGCUCAACCCUGAGACGCCAUCCGAUACUGCGCUGACUUGAAUCCAGUAGGGGAGUGCGGAAUUCCUGGUGUAGCGGUGAAAUGCGUAGAUAUCAAGAGGAACACCUGAGGUGAAGACGGGUUGCUGGGCUGACACUGACGCUGAGGCGCGAAAGCCAGGGGAGCAAACAGGAUUAGAUACCCUUGUAGUCCCUGAGCGGGCUGGCAAGGCGCAU
rnacentral:rRNA from 1 species